rnacentral:rRNA from 1 species
GACGAACGCUGGCGGCGUGCUUAACACAUGCAAGUCGAACGAUGAAGCCGGAGCUUGCUCCGGUGGAUUAGUGGCGAACGGGUGAGUAACACGUGAGCAAUCUGCCCUUGACUCUGGAAUAACUGCGGGAAACUGUAGCUAAUACCGGAUACGACACCUUGGCGCAGCCCAGGGUGUGGAAAGAAUUUCGGUCAAGGAUGAGCUCGCGGCCUAGCAGCUAGUCGGUGGGGUAAUGGCGCACCAAGGCGACGACGGGUAGCCGGCCUGGGAGGGUGACCGGCCCCACUGGAACUGAGACACGGUCCAGACUCCUACGGGAUGCAGCAGUGGGGAAUAUUGCACAAUGGGCGAAAGCCUGAUGCAGCAACGCCGCGUGAGGGAUGAAGGCCUUCGGGUUGUAAACCUCUUUUAGCAGGGAAGAAGCGAAAGUGACGGUACCUGCAGAAAAAGCACCGGCUAACUACGUGCCAGCCGCCGCAGUAA